GAUGACUCAGAUCCAUGUCAUAUUAACCUUAUCCCCUUGUUUUUGCUUAAUGCAUUCAAUUUGGGCCAUGUCUUAGGCUUUUUUGACCAACUUUGUUGAUCGUUGCAUAGUUUCUGCUUGCGCACCACUGGAUUCAUGAGUUUGUAUUAAACAUGGUCCUUUGAUUUGGCCCAUGUGUGGUCCAUUGGGCACACAUUUUUAUUUCCUGUUGGGCCCACCUAUUU
rnacentral:lncRNA from 1 species